rnacentral:rRNA from 1 species
GACGAACGCUAGCUAUAGGCUUAACACAUGCAAGUCGAGGGACCGGCGCACGGGUGAGUAACGCGUAUCCAACCUGCCCACAGCUAAGGGAUAACCCAGCGAAAGUUGGACUAAUACCUUAUGGUUAUGGAUGGGGAUGCGUCUGAUUAGCUUGUUUGCGGGGUAACGGCACACCAAGGCAACGAUCAGUAGGGGUUCUGAGAGGAAGGUCCCCCACAUUGGAACUGAGACCCGUUCCAAACUCCUACCGGAGGCAGCAGUGAGGAAUAUUGGUCAAUUGACGCAAGUCUGCACCAGCCAAGUAGCGUGCAGGAUGACGGCCUAUGGGUUGUAAUCUGCUUUUAUAUGGGGAUAGUUACCAUAUGAAUAAGGACCGGCUAAUUCCGUGCCAGCAGCCGCGGUAAUAC